rnacentral:tRNA from 1 species
GUUACUUUGGCAGAUUAGUGCAUUAAAUUUAGAAUUUAAUUAUGUAAAUAUUACAAGUAAUAA